rnacentral:rRNA from 1 species
AGAGUUUGAUCCUGGCUCAGGAUGAACGCUAGCGACAGGCUUAACACAUGCAAGUCGAGGGGCAGCGGUGGAGAGAGCUUGCUCUCUUCAGCCGGCGACCGGCGCACGGGUGAGUAACACGUAUGCAACCUGCCCUUGACACUGGGAUAACCCGGAGAAAUCCGGACUAAUACCGGGCGACACCUUCGGAGGGCAUCCUCCUUAGGUCGAAGGAAGCGAUUCCGGUCAAGGAUGGGCAUGCGGCGCAUUAGCUGGUUGGCGGGGUAACGGCCCACCAAGGCGACGAUGCGUAGGGGUUCUGAGAGGAAGGUCCCCCACAUUGGUACUGAGACACGGACCAAACUCCUACGGGAGGCAGCAGUGAGGAAUAUUGGUCAAUGGGCGCGAGCCUGAACCAGCCAAGUCGCGUGAGGGAAGACGGCCCUACGGGUUGUAAACCUCUUUUGUCGGGGAGCAAGGACUGCCACGAGUGGCAGGGCGAGAGUACCCGAAGAAAAAGCAUCGGCUAACUCCGUGCCAGCAGCCGCGGUAAUACGGAGGAUGCGAGCGUUAUCCGGAUUUAUUGGGUUUAAAGGGUGCGUAGGCGGAAGUUCAAGUCAGCGGUAAAAUCGAGGGGCUCAACCCCUUUAAGCCGUUGAAACUGGGUUUCUUGAGUGGGCGAGAAGUGUGCGGAAUGUGUGGUGUAGCGGUGAAAUGCAUAGAUAUCACACAGAACUCCGAUUGCGAAGGCAGCACACCGGCGCCCAACUGACGCUGAGGCACGAAAGCGUGGGGAUCAAACAGGAUUAGAUACCCUGGUAGUCCACGCAGUAAACGAUGAACACUAGGUGUGCGGGUCGAAUGAGAUCUGCGUGCCACAGCGAAAGCGUUAAGUGUUCCACCUGGGGAGUACGCCGGCAACGGUGAAACUCAAAGGAAUUGACGGGGGCC